ensembl:lncRNA novel transcript
GUAUAAGUCUUCGAGGUUUCGGCUGCACUGUCCAAAUCAUGAUGAGCUUCAACCAUGGCCACUGACGAAACCUCAGGCAUUUCGGCUGGUAUUUUGAACAAAUUUAUUUACUGCCUUUAUUAUAAUGUUGUCGGACAGUUGUGCAUCUAGAUGAUCUGGUGGAGUUUACACUUCAGAGGCACUGGGAAUGCCAAAGAUUUAUUUGCCUCUCAUUCAUUAAGAAGAAAAAAGAAAGAAAAUGUAACUAAUUGAAGAGUCUGGAUGACAAUUAUCUGUUUGUGAAACACUAAGGAGGCUCUGUAAGGCAUGACUCUGAAGAAGGCCACUAUCUUUUACUGCCGUGACACCAUUUCUCAGAACACAUCACAUGGCCCCUGAGUGGUCAGGAGUCCAGAGAAAAACAGUCAAGCCCUCCUUUAAUAGUAAAAUUUUUGUCUGACCCUC